AGGAUUAGAAGAGAAAGGAAGAAGAGAAAAACGAGAAUUGGACAAUUCUCGUUGGUUCAAGAACUACCGUGCUCACUAUUUUGUUGAGCUUUAUAACAAACUCGUCCAGCUGGCAAUAUUUCAUCCCUCGAAGCUCAUUACCUGCAAAUCCAUUGCGGUCGUUGGUUAAGUGUGAAUCAUUUCAUUAUUUAUACACUCGAGCUCUCUUGGCUAUAUUUUUCUUUAUUUGCAUUCUCAGGUCAUGACAAAUUUUUGCCAGAAGAAGUGACCAGG
rnacentral:lncRNA from 1 species